GGCGAGUGANCGGCAACAGCUCAAAUUUGAAAGCUAGCCUUCGGGUUCGCAUUGUAAUUUGUAGAGGAUGAUUUGGGGAAGCCGCCUGUCUAAGUUCCUUGGAACAGGACGUCAUAGAGGGUGAGAAUCCCGUAUGUGACAGGAAAUGGCACCCUAUGUAAAUCUCCUUCGACGAGUCGAGUUGUUUGGGAAUGCAGCUCUAAAUGGGAGGUAAAUUUCUUCUAAAGCUAAAUAUUGGCGAGAGACCGAUAGCGCACAAGUAGAGUGAUCGAAAGAUGAAAAGCACUUUGGAAAGAGAGUUAAAAAGCACGUGAAAUUGUUGAAAGGGAAGCGCUUGCAAUCAGACUUGUUUAAACUGUUCGGCCGGUCUUCUGACCGGUUUACUCAGUUUGGACAGGCCAGCAUCAGUUUCGGCGGCCGGAUAAAGGCUCUGGGAAUGUGGCCUCCACUUCGGUGGAGGUGUUAUAGCCCAGGGUGUAAUACGGCCAGCCGGGACUGAGGUCCGCGCUUCGGCUAGGAUGCUGGCGUAAUGGUUGUAAGCGACCCGUCUUGNANCACG
rnacentral:rRNA from 1 species